rnacentral:rRNA from 1 species
UACGUAGGAUGCAAGCGUUGUCCGGAUUUAUUGGGCGUAAAGAGCUCGUAGGUGGUUCGGUAAGUCGGGUGUUAAACCCCCAGGCUCAACCUGGGGACGCCACUCGAUACUGCUGUGACUAGAGUCCGGUAGGGGAGCGUGGAAUUCCUGGUGUAGCGGUGAAAUGCGCAGAUAUCAGGAGGAACACCGGUGGCGAAGGCGGGUCUCUGGGCCGAUACUGACGCUGAGGAGCGAAAGCGUGGGGAGCGAACAGG